UACGAGUGCUUCGAGCGUUAUCCGGAAUCACUGGGUUUAAAGGGCGCGUAGGCGGGCUGUCAAGUCGGUGGUGAAAUCUUUCGGCUCAACCGGAAAAUCGCCUUCGAUACUGGCGGCCUUGAGGGAGGUAGGGGCAUGCGGAACUUCCGGUGGAGCGGUGAAAUGCGUAGAUAUCGGAAGGAACACCGAUGGCGAAAGCAGCGUGCUGGACCUUUUCUGACGCUGAGGCGCGAAAGCCAGGGGAGCAAACGGG
rnacentral:rRNA from 1 species